GGGCCAACCAAGAGCUAGAGGGCGCGGCCUACAUGCAAAUCUAAGCACAGAUAUUACUGAUUGAAGGAGAGGCAGAUGAUAGGCUGGGUUAUGGAAAGGAGGGCGUUGUUAUCUCGGAUCUGUCGUCUAGCUUCCGAAGCUUCAUUUAGCUCCGCCCUACCAUUUAAAAGUCGCGGCGCCUGCGCAGUGGAUGGAAAUGAGGACUUAGUCUGUUACACAACCGACUGGGCUGUUUUGGGAGCUGUGGUUUCCCUUUGGCUUCACGUCCUUCCCUCUCUCGGGUUUUUCUUGCUUACGAUCGUGGUAAAGGCAUGAGUGGGGAUCAGCUGCAUAACGACUCCCAGGUACGGGGGAGGGCUCUCUUUUUUCUAGCAGUUAAUGGGAAGAAAGAAAAGGCUGUGGACGUUGAGGCCUUUCCCCUAUCCCCAUUUGAGGGAAAAAGUGGAGGGUUUCUGAUGGUGGAGAAGAAGAAAAAUAUUGAUCCAGGUUUCCGAGCGAAUGAGUAAAAAUGGAGCUGGGAGGAAGUGCCUGCCCACCCACCUGGAUUCUCUAGUACCUGCCUAUGCACCCCUUCUCCUGUGCUCCAUAUCACCUGCUUGUGGUACCCACCCGUCUGCCUGCCUAUUUUUCAUAGUCCCUGUCCAUGGCACCUGCUCAUCUACCUGCAGCUUUUGCCAGCCUACUUGCCUGAGAUUCCUGCAGCCUACUUGCCUGGGACUCCCACCUCUUCCCAUGUCAUGCUCUUUGUGAAAUGAUUCAGAGUUGCAGUGACCUCCAAAAUCACUGGGAUUGCCAUCACUCAGCAAUGUGGUCAUGUGAUAUUACACUUCAUGAUUUCAUUGUUUAGCAUAUCCAAUCACAACAGGGAUAUUUAAAUUGACUUAAAGUGUUUUACCUACAUUUUGUAAAAAGAACUUUCAGAAAAGUGGUUUUGGGUAACAAAGGAAACACUUCUUCCAAUUAUUAAAAGUUGUUUAUUUUAAUUAUUAAAAAACUUAAAGCAAAUAUUCUUCUACAGACAGUAGAAAAUUAACUUUAAUCAUCUGUGAGAUAUAAAUGUAUUUCAUUACUCUCUGGUUAACAUCCGAUAGAUGUUCAUUGAAAAGUUAAAUCCUAAUGAUUUGCUGAGAUUUCUUCUCUGGAAAAUGUAUAAAAUUACCUUCUAAUUACAGACUUAUCUUAGCUAAGCCUGUAGCUAAGCGUGUAAUAUAAAAAUUAAAUGAUUGCUUAUUUUCAUAUCUGUCCACCUCAUUUUACUCUGUAAAUCUUACAUGGUUCAAUUGCAAU
rnacentral:lncRNA from 1 species